rnacentral:tRNA from 1 species
ACCCCCGUGGCCCAAUUGGCAGAGGCAGACCCCUUAAAAGGGUUUCAGUGUCGGUUCGAGUCCGACCGGGGGUA